GACAGAGGGUGCAAUCGUUGCUCGGAAUUACUGGGCGUAAAGCGUGCGCAGGCGGUCCGCAAAGUCUGAUGUGAAAGCCCCGGGCUCAACCUGGGAACUGCAUUGGAAACUAACGGGCUCGAGUGUGGCAGAGGGGGGUGGAAUUCCACGUGUAGCAGUGAAAUGCGUAGAGAUGUGGAGGAACACCGAUGGCGAAGGCAGCCCCCUGGGCUAACACUGACGCUCAGGCACGAAAGCGUGGGGAGCAAACAGG
rnacentral:rRNA from 1 species